GUUUUCAGUUAAGAACACCUUCCGCGAAGAGGGCUCUGGCAAGCCCGUCCAUAACCUCUCGACUAUUAUUCUGCAUCAACUUUGUAGCAAAGGCACACAACUAACAAACUGAGCAGGCUCGAAGCCUCAAAAUAAAUUCUUAAAAGUUCCUUCCUUGUGAUCUUUUAAGACUGUAUGAGGAUGUGUUUUUAUCUUCAAAAGGAA